CUCGUUGCUGCUGCCUCCGCCUCCCCUUCCUCUCCCCUCGGCCCGUGCGCAUUGUUUCUCAUUCGUUUUUCUACCUUUGGUAAGGGCGGCUGGCGCAGCCGGGGCGGGGAGGCCCGGGCUUGCUCUGCGCCUCUGGAGGCCUCAGCCGGGCUCUGCGCCCGCGGCCGCAUUUCGGGGGCUUUCACAGCCCGGCGGCUCGGGUGUCUUCGCAGAGGCAGGUGAGACGGGCUGUGAUGGCGCGUCGACCUCAGAUGGCCCCACCGCCGCCCGGCUGUGUGAUCUUGGCCGACGGGGUGCCAGGCAUUAGAAACCUUCUCUCCACUCCUGACAACGUCUCCGUUUUACCCAAGAGGAAACUGAGGUUAACAUAACACUGCGCUGGCCAGCGCCGCAGGUAAACGAUUUGGGCGGCUCCCAGAGAAGGUUAGAAACGAGGCCCAAAUAAGGCACUUCUGGCUAGUUCCGCGAGGGCACCUGGGGAUGGGCCGGAGGGCAACUUUCCUCAACGCAGAAGCCGUCGCCCUCAGGUUUUUCCUCCUUCGAGCCUGUCCAUCUGCUCGUGAGUCUGUCUGUCCGUUGGGGCCUACGUCCGGCAGUCAGUCCUGCACCGAGAAGGAGAAUGCGCAUGGCUCCACCCAGGGCAGAGGUACGGCCGGACGACCCCUCCUCUUUCACCCUCUCCAGGAGCGCC